rnacentral:rRNA from 1 species
AUUGAACGCUGGCGGCAUGCUUUACACAUGCAAGUCGAACGGCAGAGCGGGCUCCUUUUUGGCGGCGAGUGGUGAAUGGGUGAGUGAUGCAUAAGAACGUGCUCAGCUGUGGGGGAUUGCUGGGCGACAGCCGGAAUAAUAGGCCAAACGACGUGAGGCUGAAAGUGGGGGACCGAGAGUCUUGGCGCGAUUUUAGUUGGGGAUGGCGGGUUAGCGAGUUGGUGGGGUAAGGGCGUACCAAGGCGGCGAUCCGUAGCUGGUCUGAGUGGACGGCCAGCGACACUGGGAGUGAGACACGGCCCAGACUCCUACGGGGGGCGGCAGUGGGGAAGUUUAGACAAUGGGGGCAACCCGGAUGCAGCCGCGCCGCGUGCGGGAAGAUGGCGUUCGGGUUGUAGACCGCUUUUGUUCGGGGAGAAGUCCUCUUGGCUAAUACCCCGGGGGGUUGACGGUACCGGAAGAAUAAGCACCGGCUAACUACGUG